CAUAAUAUGUAUAGAGAAGAGAAUGAGAAAGAGAGAAGAGAGAGAUAGGAGUAUGAGGAGAGGAUUGAAACACGAAUGCAAGCCAGUUGCUGAAAAUUUGUGUUUGUUCUGCAUCUGUUUGUGAUUGGAUUGCUAUGGAAAGAACUGGUAUUGCAUUUGUUAAAAAAAAAUAUGUAUGAUUGUUCAGUAUUGACUGCAUCUGUUUGUGAUUGGAUUCCUAUGGAAAUAGCUGGUAUUGCUUUUGUUCAGAAAAAUACUUUAUUGUUUGUUUGUUGUUUGCUGUUUGUCGUAUAUGUUUGCCCAUUGCACAGAGGUGGUGGUUGAGGAAGGAAGUGCAAACACACGUUUGUGGUUUUUUUUUUGUGAAGAAGUGCACAUAUUGAAUUAUAUUGAAAAUUUGUAAAAUUUUAAACCGCCAAACCGAUUCGCAUCCACCUGCCAAUCCGUCAAUCUGCAUCCUCCGGAUUGGCUGAUGGAUGCGGAUUGAUUUUCUCCAAUCCGCCAAUCCAUUGGACGGAUGGCUGAUUGGAGGUUCCGUGGCCGCAACCGAUCCGCGCCCACCCCUACAACUUGUUAGUUGUCUGGCACGGGAACUGAAUGCAAUAGUCAUGUUUGGCUACACACAUAUACUAUCCUGCACUAGACCCAAGAACACGUACUUUCGGAAAAUUAUUAGAUCUCUAAAACCUCAUCUCAUUGAGUUUGGAUCUUCUACUUGACUUCCCUCCGGUGCUCCUUAUGAAGGACGAUUUAAAUUGGGCCACGUCUCUCGCUCAAAAAUGAACGACUGGAAUCUACUCCAUUUAAAA